UUCCUCUGGAGAAAUCUCAAGAAGAACUUGGAUCAGAAAAGGAUUUUUCUGCUAAAAUUGGAUGACAGACUACUUCACAUGGAAUAGAUGAAAAACUGAGUUUAUCCUAAUAAGAAAGCACGGUACACAGGAUUACUUAAUUUCCAAGGAAGAGAAUCAGUUACAUCCUACACCUGUAUGCCUUCAUGCUGAGUCAUCCCUAGAUCCUCGCGACCCAGGAGGCUGCAUCUUAAACACAAGCCUUGGAUCCCCAGAUCAAUGGAUAUGUUUCAACAAGUGGAGAAGCACACCACCUGUCCUUACUGCUAAACCAACAGAAAUCCUUUGAAGAGUCUGUGACUAAACCAAUGUGCUGUCUGGAGAGAAUGUGCAAAAAGCUUACUUCUCCCAGACUGUGGGAAUAGAUAAAGAACACAAAGAAGCUGAAGGAGAAGGACAAAUGCCCGUAUUUUCUUGAAGUGACAAAGUGCCUGAUUCCAGCAAUGAUUCCCCAGUCCGCUGCAGUGCUGGAUUUCCAUUGUGGCUAUUAUUUGCUGAAACCAAGCCCAGAGCCCAUGGUGACAGGAUAAGAAUGUGAAAGAGA